rnacentral:sRNA from 1 species
GGCUAGGUCUUGGAGGCUGGUGUAAGGCGAUGCGGGUGAAGGCAGGAGGCUGAUGGAAAGACUGGGGGGAAGAAAAGCCGAAAUGGAUUCACGGUGCCUUGGAUGAAGGACGAGAGGGGAACUGCAAGCUCCUUCAACUGGUUCUGUCCGGUGAGAAGUGAUCAAGCUUGGGCUGACAAGAGGCUCAGGGAGCCCUCACGUUCUUUCGCUUUUUUACCUGCCAAUCAAACUGCUACAAGACAACACCCUGAUCUGGCAUGGACAUCGCGGGUCCAAGCCUGUAGCCCCAAAUCGGAUAAUCUCUGCAGCUGAUAACAAGCAAAAGAGAAGCCAGGCAACAGCCAUAUUAAAGAAGAAAACAAUCAACUCUGAGGAAGAAAUGUAAUGAAUUGAGUGCUGUCAGAGAUGUCUUCUGUUUGAACAAUCUGCGAUGGGCUGAAUGGCAGGGACUCCCUCAUCCAGUGCAGACACAGCCCAGGCAGACAGAAGGAAACGGAGCAUUAAUCCAACAGCAGUCACCCCAAAGUACAGGCCAUUUGGAUCCAGAAGAGAAACUGGUUCUUUCUACAAGC